ACCUAAAAACCUAAAUCCCCCCUGUUGCUCAUUCUUUUCCUUCACUGCUUCACAGCGAAACCCUAGCCUCUCUCUUCCUUUGGCUUGAACUUCUACCAUACGCUUUCCUGAAACCUGAACUAUCAUACGCUUCUUCUUCUUCUUCUUCUACCUGCAUCUCAUUCUCUCUGAAUCGCUUGUGCUUGAACGGCUUAGCAAAGGAUUCCAAAAUCAAGGUUAUUCACUUCCAGGUAUGUCGAUUCCGUAGUCGAUAUUGAUCAGAAUCUAGGUAAGUUUACUGUUAUUCGGUACCUUUAAUUCUGUUUUCCCCUUAUUUUCGUGUCCAUUCUUAUUUUUUUUCUUUUUUGUGUUUUGAAUGUCAUAGAUUCAUCUAGAUAAGAUCCAGGUAUGUUUUGCUUUUAUUGAUUUUAUAUUUGAUAUUCAAUUAUUACUGUAACUUUACUUCGAUUUUGUUCUUACAGUUGAUAUCAUAUUUAAUAAUCCUUUGUAGUUUUUUUCUUUUGCAUAUUGUUCCAUGUUAAAGGGCUACACCCAAUCUUUCUUUCGGGAUUUUGUCAAAAAUAGGUAAUAAAUUUUGAUUUCCGUGAUAUAUAAUCCGCUAAUCUUUAUUUGAGCUAACGUUCAACGUCUUUUUUUCUUAAGAGGAUCCACCAGAUCCCUCUCACAUAGCCUAUGUAAAAAACGGUUACCGCAGGAUUCAGCUAAAAAACGUUUUACCCCGGCUGCUGCGUUUCAAUCGCCGCUCAAAGUUCUCCCCAUUUUUCGUUAUCUGCGUGUUGGUUGGUUUCAGGCGGACAUGAAGCGGCAACUAUAUUCUACAAAAUACACACCGAAAUAGAGCAGGGGGUGGCCGGAUGCGACGGUGGCUGUGACUGUGGCUAUGGCGAUAUGUGGUUAGGUGAUGUGGUGGUGGUUAGGCAGUGUGAGACGAUUAGGUGGCCCACGGUGUGUAGCUGUGAAGUUGAAGAUGGAGUGCUCAGGGCUGUGGUUGAAAAUGGCUAGACCUAGAAAAUUCGUCAGUGUUCAUGUGUAACAUUUCAGUUUUUCUUUCCUCUGGUUGAUAAUAUUUGUUCAAUAAGUGUUAGUGUUUUCAUGAUUAUAGUAGAUGUUAGGGAUUUGUUUUGAAAACUUUUGCUUUGUGAAUGUGUUUCAUCUUUUAUGCAAUUAGCUUUAAUUUUAUAGGAAUUUAUAUCGUUUUUCUUUUAAUCACCAGGUGUUAUAUUCGAGAUUAAAUGAGGCAAAGGAAAAAUAUUCUGAUGGAUGGCUUUGUUUUUGGACUAGCCCAUCAGAAUUUGUAAUUCCAUUAGCCAAGUACUAUAAAGCAGUCUACAGUAACCAGAUAUCUCUUGGCAUGUGGUUCCAAAUGAUGUUCGAGACUAAAGAAUCGGGAACAAGAAUGUAAAGAGGUAUAUGGGUACGAUUAUUAGUGAUCUGAAUGGUGUUCGAUGGAAGAACUCGCAAUGGCGUAACCUACAGCUAUACAGUUAAAUGCUGAGACCUUUGCAAAGUUUAAUGAUGGAAAGCAUGCUCCAAAAGACAUAAGGGAGUUAGUGUAGGGAAUUUUAGAUACUCAUUUUUUGUGUUAACCAAAUCAAGUUACCAAGGUAAUAUUAGAUUGACAUAUGUUCUUAAUAAUAGUAGUGUGGAAAGAAAAUCCAUCACGUAGGGUUAUUCUUAAUACUAUUUUACAAUUUUUUUUCUUUUGCAUGUAUUGGUAAAAAUUGAAUUGUACGUUGCAUUUUCUUGCAAAUUUAACUAAUUGACCCAUUAGAGAUAUGAACAGA